rnacentral:tRNA from 1 species
GCCUGGGUGGCUCAUCAGUUAAGCGUCUUACUUCAGCUCAGGUCAUGAUCUCAGUUCGUGGGUUCGAGCCCCACAUCAGGCU